AAUGAACGCUGGCGGCGCGCCUAAUACAUGCAAGUCGAGCGAGAAGACGUAGCGAUACGUUUGUAAAGCGGCGAACGGGUGAGGAAUACAUGGGUAACCUACCCUCGAGUGGGGAAUAACUAGCCGAAAGGUUAGCUAAUACCGCGUACGCUUCUUGGACUUCGGUUCAGGGAGGAAAGCGAUGCCGAGGGUAUCGCGCUCUUGGAUGGGCUCAUGUCCUAUCAGCNGUUGGUGAGGUAACGGCUCACCAAGGCUUCGACGGGUAGCUGGUCUGAGAGGACGAUCAGCCACACUGGCACUGCGACACGGGCCAGACUCCUACGGGAGGCAGCAGUAAGGAAUAUUGCGCAAUGGGCGAAAGCCUGACGCAGCGACGCCGCGUGGGGGA
rnacentral:rRNA from 1 species